UACGUAGGGUGCAAGCGUUAAUCGGAAUUACUGGGCGUAAAGCGUGCGCAGGCGGUUUUGUAAGUCUGUCGUGAAAGCCCCGGGCUCAACCUGGGAAUUGCGAUGGAUACUGCAAGGCUUGAAUCUGGCAGAGGGGGGUAGAAUUCCAGGUGUAGCAGUGAAAUGCGUAGAGAUGUGGAGGAACACCGAUGGCGAAGGCAGCCCCCUGGGUCAAGAUUGACGCUCAUGCACGAAAGCGUGGGGAGCAAACAGG
rnacentral:rRNA from 1 species